GCUGGUGUACGCUUAAUUGGUAAAGUCGGUGCCUGCCUUAGUGUGGAUCAUGUAUGCGGGUUCGACCCCGCCACCAGCA
rnacentral:tRNA from 1 species